CAGCCGCCGCGGUAAUACAGAGGUCCCAAGCGUUGUUCGGAUUCACUGGGCGUAAAGGGUGCGCAGGUGGGUUUGCAAGUUCGAUGUGAAAGCCCCGGGCUUAACCCGGGAAUGGCAUUGGAUACUGCAGAUCUGGAGGAUCGGAGGGGGGACUGGAAUUCUUGGUGUAGCAGUGAAAUGCGUAGAUAUCAAGAGGAACACCAGUGGCGAAGGCGAGUCCCUGGACGAUACCUGACACUGAGGCACGAAAGCUAGGGGAGCAAACAGG
rnacentral:rRNA from 1 species